UUGGCCUGGGGCUGGCUAGGCUACAUUUUUGAGACAUGUCCAAAACAAAGUAGAAAACGUUUUUGAUUUUGUUUUAAUAUGCCGAAUUGUGCUAUUAUGGGUUAUUAUUGUUCAGAUCAUUUAGCUAAGCUAGCUAAGAGCUGCUAACGUCGUUUACUGUUGCCAUAGCUGAGCUGUAAAUAGAGAUGCAGAAUCAAGCUGUAUUGAAAACAGAAUACAAGUAAACCUAUAGUGAAUAAUUAGUUUAAUUUGAAAUAUUUGCCAUUGAAUUUAUUGUAAUCUUUUAAUUCAUUUAUUGUUUACUGAGGUGAUAACUAUUUAAUAGGUAUAAUUUGUGUGUAAAUGUUCCACUGAUAAGGUGAGAAAUAUUUAUUAUUAUUGUUAUUAUCACACAAGUUUUAUUGUGCUUAUGUGUUGAUCCUUAAUGGUGUGAUCAUGUACACUAAAUGAUCAAUUAUUCUCCGUUACAGGUUGUUGUGAUAUAUUUGAGGAGUCGUUCUCCCUCUGUUUUAUAUGUGGACAUUUGGGACCACUGUUAGAAUUUGGUUGACCACUUGACAUGUGAGCGCCUGAGGAGUUGUUCCCCCUCUGUCCAUGUUCGAGGACUUGCUCUCUGUCUGUCUCCACUCUCUGCCUUCACUGUACCAACGUUUGUCUGUUGAGUCUCCUCUAGUCUGGUUGACCACUUGACAUGUGAGAGCCUGAGGAGUUGUUUUCCAGACACAGGUAGAGCUGGCAGGGGCGUCACCCUGGGCCUGCCCUUUUGGGCUGGGCUUCAGCUGCAGAUCUAAAGGCUGCUUCCAGGGGCAUGGGGCCCUCAGCCUUUGUUUUUCUUUGCUUCUGCACUUUACAACAUACAUCACACCUUAUUUUCACACAUCCGAACACUGUUAACACCACUGAUGCGUAACAUAUUUUACACAUCCCACUACGUAGUUAGAGCUAUCUUGAUUUGGAGUUAAAUAAAUUUACUUUUGGCUUGAGAGGUUUGUGUGUGGCCUCCCUUCUUGCUGCAAAAUAUGGGCUAGGUGGUAACAGUAGUAUGCAUGAGAGAAGACGCCGCGAGAUUUGUGGACUUCUAUGUGGUGUCCGUUGAUAAUGUAGUGGGCUGGUCUACACAAAAGCACAAUGUUAAAGAAAGAGUUAAAAAAUGACUGGAUCGGCUUAAUACCAAAAUACAGUGGGCCCUUUCCUGACACUUACUACAUCUGUCUGCCAAGUUGAUUGGAAAUCCAAUUGUUGUUGUUAUUAUAACAGUUUUAUUUAUUUAAACAAGUAUUAUGUCGUCUUGAUCAGGUUCCUGGAAAUGGAUCAUUGCUUCAUGUGGGGUUCUACUACUGAUCGUCAUUCCUUUGACUGUUUGGCUCGUUUAUCACUACAGGUACCAGAAGUUCUGCACUUGGAGCUGCUGGCCAGUUUCCAAACAGGAAGUUCCAGCAGGGGUGCUCCCUGCCACCAAGUUGGAUGUGACGGAGGUGCAGUGGGACCUGUCCUGGAUGGAGAUGUCCAAACUGUUGGAAAAGGAUUCUUAUUGUGGCACUUAAAGGGAAACUCUCUUCUGAAGCCCAGAGACUUAACUAUUGGGUCAAACCUAUGAGAAAGCUCAGUCAGUGCUGCAAUUUGUAGUAUUUGAUGGUCACAUGUCAAAAUAGUGCUGCCUGAUAUAUUUUUGAAUUGAAUUAAAUGAGAUGUUUAGGAUUUAUAAGGAUGACUACAUUUGCUGAUGGUGCAGAUUUGAUAGCUUCCAAUACAAAUGUUAUUGUUUCAGUUGUCACAUUUGUCAAUGUCAAUACUCUUGCACAUUUAAACGUCUCUCCUUUGAGUACAUUUUGAAACUAAGAAUCGUAUUUGUUAUAUCUUAUUAUCUAAUCAUUAAUAUAAUUGACUGUUCUAAAUCAUUUUACAUGUAUCAUUUCUCCUGUGUUUGUUCGAGGUUCCAUGUUGUUUGCUCCCUUUGAAUCGUUAUUUGCUAUUUCUUGUCGUCUGAAGUUAUAAAAGUCAUGGAAAUCGU